rnacentral:rRNA from 1 species
GGGGGCAGACGGGCGUAUGACUGGUACUCGCGAUGCAUCUAGAUUAGAGUUUGAUCCUGGCUCAAUUGAACGCUGGCGGCAGGCCUAACACAUGCAAGUCGAGCGGGGAAGGUUGCUUCGGUAACUGACCUAGCGGCGGACGGGUGAGUAAUGCUUAUGAAUCUGCCUAUUACUGGGGGACAACAUUCCGAAAGGGAUGCUAAUACCGCAUACGCCCUACGGGGGAAAGCAGGGGAUCUUCGGACCUUGCGCUAAUAGAUGAGCCUAAGUCGGAUUAGCUAGUUGGUGGGGUAAAGGCCUACCAAGGCGACCAUCUGUAGCGGGUCUGAAAGGAUGAUCCGCCACACUGGGACUGAGACACGGCCCAAACUCCUACGGGAGGCAGCAGUGGGGAAUAUUGGACAAUGGGGGGAACCCUGAUCCAGCCAUGCCGCGUGUGUGAAGAAGGCCUUUUGGUUGUAAAGCACUUUAAGCGAGGAGGAGGCACUCUAGGCUAAUACCCUAGAUGCGUGGACGUUACUCGCAUAAUAAGCACCGGCUAACUCUGUGCCAGCAGCCGCGGUAAUACAGAGGGUGCGAGCGUUAAUCGGAUUUACUGGGCGUAAAGCGCGCGUAUGUGGCUAAUUAAGUCAAAUGUGAAAUCCCCGAGCUUAACUUGCGAAUUGCAUUCGAUACUGGUUAGCUAGAGUAUGGGAGAGGAUGGUAGAAUUCCAGGUGUAUCGGUGAAAUGCGUAGAGAUCUGGAGGAAUACCGAUGGGCGAAAGGCAGCCAUCUGGCCUAGUACUGACACUGAGGUGCGAAAGCAUGGGGAGCAAACAGGAUUAUGAUACCCUGGUAGUCCAUGCCGUAAACGAUGUCUACUAGCCGGUUGAGGGACCUUUGAGGCUUUAAUGGCUGCAGCUACUGCGAUGAGGUAGACCGGCCAUGGCGGGAGUACGGUCGCAAGUACUAUAACAUCAAAUGAGUGACCGGGUACCAGCCAGCCGGUGGGAGCAUGUGGUUUCAAUACAAUGCUACGUCGAAAUACCCUAACUGGACUUGACG